UUAAAAGAUUUAGAUGCACUAUUGUAAAGUGGCUGCUCCACUGGAUGUCAUAAGGUGAAUGCACCAAUUUGUAAGUCGCUCUGGAUAAGAGCGUCUGCUAAAUGACUUAAAUGUAAAUGUAAAUGGAAUCACCGGAGGAGAGGUUAGGGACUCACUGGAGGAGGGGUUAGGGAAUCACUGGAGGAGAGGUUAGGGAAUCACUGGAGGAGGGGUAAGGGGAUCACUGGAGGAGAGGUUAGGGAAUCACUGGAGGAGAGAUUAGGGAAUGACUGGAGGAGAGGUUAGGGAAUCACCGGAGGAGAGGUUAGGGAAUCACUGGUGGAGGGGUUAGGGAAUCACUGGAGGAGAGGAUAGGGAAUCACUGGAGGAGGGGUAAGGGGAUCACUGGAGGAGAGGUUAGGGAAUCACUGGAGGAGCAUUAGGGAAUGACUGGAGGAGAGUUUAGGGAAUCACUGGAGGAGGGGUUAGGGAAUCACUGGAGGAGAGGUUAGGGAGUCACUGGAGGAGGGGUAAGGGGAUCACUGGAGGAGAGGUUAGGGAAUCACUGGAGGAGAGAUUAGGGAAUGACUGGAGGAGAGUUUAGGGAAUCACUGGAGGAGGGGUUAGGGAAUCACUGGAGGAGAGGUUAGUGAAUCACUGGAGGAGAGGUUAGGGGAUCACUGGAGGAGAGGUUAGGGAAUCACAGCAGGAGAGAUUCGGGAAUGACUGGAGGAGAGGUUAGGGAUUCACUGGAGGAGGGGUUAGGGAAUCACUGGAAGAGAAUUUAGUGAGUCACAGCUCUAUCACCAUAUGUCCUUUUCUCUUCAGAUCUCAAUGAGUGCCAGAAGACACCACAGGUUUGUGGCAGCAACGCUUCUUGCCUCAACACCAUCGGGAGCUACAAAUGCCAGUGUCAACCUGGGUUCAGAUCCACAACGCCUGUCAACUAUACUGCUCUCAUUGGGGAGUGUAAGGACAUGGAUGAGUGUAAGAAGCAGACUGCUGAUUGCCCCAACAACUUACCAUGUGUGAACACCCCAGGGUCCUACGUCUGCAUCUGCCAGUCUGGGUACAAACUAACAGAGAGCAGGUGUGAGGACAUAGAUGAGUGUAAUGUAACUGCUGGUAUCUGUGGAGAGGGAGGGACCUGUCAGAACCAGGAAGGAAGCUACAGUUGCCUCUGUCUACCUGGAUACAGUAAUUAUGGCAACAAACAGGCGAGGUGCUCAGGUGAGGACAGAAUCUGGUACCAUGAUGCACUGCUUCCCACGAUAUGGUACAGUAAGUUACGAAGAGGAACUAGAACAGGAACUAGAACAGGGUUCCUAUAUGAACAGUCUUUAAUUACGGCUAUAUCUAACAUAACAUUACAUACAUCUAUAUCUAACUUAACAUAACAUACAUACAUCUAUAUCUAACAUAACAUACAUCUAUAUCUAACAUAACAUACAUAUAUAUCUAACAUAACAUAACAUUACAUACAUCUAUAUCUAACAUAACAUAACAUACAUCAAUAUCUAACAUAACAUAACGUACAUAUAUAUCUAACAUAUUCUAUAUUCUAUUUCCGGGUUGGAGCGAGCCGGUCGCAUCCGCGCUUCGGUCUGCAGGUUGUAUAACUUUUUCAUUACAUUUCAUUACAUUUCAUUAUAGUACAACGGUCUGAUUUGUCUAAUCUUAGCAAUUUCUUCUUAGCUAGCUACAUAGUCGUCGUUGUAUCAAAGAUAAUUGCGUAAUUAUCGUAUUUCGUCGUCUCCUAUCUGCCCAACACGUUCACCGUCUACCGUAGCACUGUAGUAACUAUCACACUCAACUGAACGACUUGAUUAGUGUAGUGUUAGCUAGCUACAUAGUUGUCUUUGCUGUCUUCGUAUCCAAGAUAAUUGUGUAGUUAGAGUGUGUAGUCUUAGAGUGAUUAUCUUAAUUUACCGAGGUUAGCUAGCCAGCUAUUUUGUCGUCCUUAACGUAGGAGAAACUCCUAGCUAGCCAAUAGCUAGCCAACGUCUACUGAAUAGAACUUUCGCAUUCCGGUCGCAUUCCGCUUCGCUCCACAGGUAGUAUCAUAUUUUCAUUUCAUUUCAUUACAGUCCCAACGGUGUGAUUUGUUUGAUCGUAGCUAGCUACAUAGCUAGCUACAUAGUCGUCUUUGUUUCAAAGAUAAUUGUGUAGUCUAGAGCGAUUUUCUAGGUUAGCUAGCCAGCUAUUGUCGUUCUCCUAACGCAACGUAACGUAACCAACACUGCUAGCUAGCCAGCUUGCCCCGAAAAGCAGCAUUGUAGAAACUUCACACUCAACGGAACGACUUGAUUAGGGUAGUGUCAACAACGCAGCUAGCCUACCUCAGCAGUACUGUAUCAUUUUAAU